CGAGCGAAGCGCUCACGCGGAAUUUUUCGGAAGGAAGCGGGAGCGACUUAGCGGCGGACGGGUGAGUAACGCGUGGGUAACCUGCCCCAUACCGGGGGAUAACGGUUAGAAAUGACCGCUAAUACCGCUUAAGCGCACGAGGCCGCAUGGCCGCGCGCGAAAAACUCCGGUGGUAUGGGAUGGGCCCGCGUCUGAUUAGCUAGUUGGCGGGGUAAAGGCCCACCAAGGCGACGAUCAGUAGCCGACCUGAGAGGGUGGCCGGCCACAUUGGGACUGAGACACGGCCCAAACUCCUACGGGAGGCAGCAGUGGGGAAUAUUGCGCAAUGGGGGAAACCCUGACGCAGCAACGCCGCGUGAGUGAAGACGUAUCUCGGUAUGUAAAGCUCUAUCAGCGGGGAAGAAGGAAGACGGUACCCGACUAAGAAGCCCCGGCUAACUACGUGCCAGCAGCCGCGGUAAUACGUAGGGGGCGAGCGUUAUCCCGGAUUUACU
rnacentral:rRNA from 1 species